UACGGAGGGUGCAAGCGUUAUCCGGAUUCACUGGGUUUAAAGGGUGCAUAGGUGGAUUAGUAAGUCAGUGGUGAAAUCUCUGGGCUUAACUCAGAAACUGCCAUUGAUACUAUUAGUCUUGAAUACCGUGGAGGUCAGCGGAAUAUGUCAUGUAGCGGUGAAAUGCUUAGAUAUGACAUAGAACACCAAUUGCGAAGGCAGCUGGCUACACGAAUAUUGACACUGAGGCACGAAAGCGUGGGGAUCAAACAGG
rnacentral:rRNA from 1 species